AGUUUGAUUAUGGCUCAGAUUGGAAUCGCUAGCGGGAUGCUUUACACAUGCAAGUCGAACGGCAGCACGGACUUCGGUCUGGUGGCGAGUGGCGAACGGGUGAGUAAUGUAUCGGAACGUGCCUAGUAGCGGGGGAUAACUACGCGAAAGCGUAGCUAAUACCGCAUACCGCCCUUCGGGGGAAAGCGGGGACCUUCGGGCUCGCACUAUUAGAGCGGCUGAUAUCGGAUUAGCUGCUGGUGGGGUAACGGCUCACCAAGGGCGACGAUCUGUAGCUGGUUUGAGAGAGACACUGCACACACUGGGACUGGACACGGCCCAGACUCCGCCAGAAAGGGGGAAUUUUGGACAAUGGGGGAAACCCUGAUCCAGCCAUCCCGCGUGUGCGAUGAAGGCCUUCGGUGUCUGUAAAGCACUUUUGGCAGGAAGAAACGGCACGGAUAACACCUUCGUGAACGACGGGUACCUGCAGAAUAAGCACCGGCUAACUACGUGCCAGCAGCCGCAGAAGAUGUAGUAUGCGCGUUAAUCGGAAUUACUGGGCGAAGCGCAGGCGGUUCGGAAAGAAAGAUGUGAAAUCCCUGGAGCUUAACUUUGAACUGCAUUUUUAACUACCGAGCUAGGGAGGUGUCAGAGGGAGGUGCAAUUCCGGCGUGUAGCAGUGAAAUGCGUAGAUAUGCGGAGGAACACCGAUGGUGAAGGCAGCCUCCUGGGAUAAUACUGACGCUCAUGCACGAAAGCGUGGGGAGCAAACAGGAUUAGAUACCUGGUAGCCCCACGCCCUAAACGAUAACAACUAGCUGUUGGGGCCUUCGGGCCUUGCAGCGUGCAGCUAACGCGUGAAGUUGACCGCUCAGAGUACGGUCGUAAGAUUAAAACUCAAAGAAUUGACGGGGACCCGCACAAGCGGUGUAUGGAUUAAUUCGAUGCGUCGAAAACCUUACCCACCCCGAUACCACUGGAAUCCCAAGAGAUUUGGGAGUGCUCGCAAGAGAACCGGAACACAGGUGCCGCAUGGCCGUCGUCAGCUCGCGUCGUGAGAUGUUGGGUUAAGUCCCGCAACGAGCGCAACCCUUGACAUUAGUUGAAAGGCACUCUAAUGAGACUGCCGGUGUCAAACCGGAGGAAGGUGGGGAUGACGUCAAGUCCUCAUGGCCCUUAUGGGUAGGGCUUCUCACACGUCAUACAAUGGUCGGCAGGAGACGUUGUUCCGGCGAGGGGGAGCCAAUCCAGAAACCCGAUCGUAGUCCGGAUCGCAGUCUGCAACUCUUCGACUGCGUGAAGUCGGAAUCGCUAGCAAUCGCGGAUCAGCAUGUCGCGGUGAAUACGUUCCCGGGUCUUGUACACACCGCCCAUUACACCAUGGGAGUGGUCGCACGAAGUAGUUAGCCUAACCGUAAGGAGGGCGAUUACCACGGUAGGAUUCAUACCGUAAGCUGCUGGUGUAGCUU
rnacentral:rRNA from 1 species